AGGGGAGUAGCUUGGUGGUAUAGCAUUUGCCUAGAAUGCAAAAGGCUCUAGGUUUGACACCCAGCACCUCAG
rnacentral:tRNA from 1 species